CCAGGCCUUGACAUGCAGAGAACUUUCCAGAGAUGGAUUGGUGCCUUCGGGAACUCUGACACAGGUGCUGCAUGGCUGCCGUCAGCUCGUGUCGUGAGAUGUUGGGUUAAGUCCCGUAACGAGCGCAACCCUUGUCCUUAGUUACCAGCACGUUAUGGUGGGCACUCUAAGGAGACUGCCGGUGACAAACCGGAGGAAGGUGGGGAUGACGUCAAGUCAUCAUGGCCCUUACGGCCUGGGCUACACACGUGCUACAAUGGUCGGUACAAAGGGUUGCCAAGCCGCGAGGUGGAGCUAAUCCCAUAAAACCGAUCGUAGUCCGGAUCGCAGUCUGCAACUCGACUGCGUGAAGUCGGAAUCGCUAGUAAUCGUGAAUCAGAAUGUCACGGUGAAUACGUUCCCGGGCCUU
rnacentral:rRNA from 1 species